GGAACGUAUGUGUGUGCGAGAAUGGAAACGGAAGGAAAAGGGGUCGAUGGGGAGGCUAAAAAAAGAUCGAAAUUGUGGUGCUUAAUCAAGAAAUUUUAGUUCAGUAAUCAUCUACUAGUUAUUUGGAAACAAGGUUUUAAUGUUGAUGCUGAACAAGCUAGGCAUGUUAAAGCUUGGAAAUCAAUGAUUCAAAGUCGAAGAUAAACUAACAAGAACCCUAUGGGAAAAGGUAAAGCUCCAAAAUAGUAAAGUUCGGGUUCAAAGUGGAGCCCCCAUUUAGUGAAGCAGGAGCUAAAUAUCCCGAGUUGAAAUUAAUGAAGCCUUCGUUUAAGGCCUGUGAAAUGCUCUCUACUUGGUUGACGAUUGGUGAUCGAGUCUCAAAGCGGUUCAAGAACACACAUCAUGAUGUUGGUCGACAUUUUGAAAAUGCGUCAACAAUUUGUUAAGUUGUUUCAUGCAACUUUUUCUUUGGUUUUAAAUAACU
rnacentral:lncRNA from 1 species